CGGGGCGUAGCGCAGCUUGGUUAGCGCGCUUGACUGGGGGUCAAGAGGUCGAGAGUUCAAAUCUCUCCGCCCCGA
rnacentral:tRNA from 1 species